rnacentral:rRNA from 1 species
CACGUAGGGGCCAAGCGUUGUCCGGAUUUAUUGGGCGUAAAGAGCUCGUAGGCGGUUCAGCAAGUCGGGUGUGAAAACUCUGGGCUCAACCCAGAGACGCCACCCGAUACUGCUGUGACUAGAGUCCGGUAGGGGAGUGGGGAAUUCCUGGUGUAGCGGUGAAAUGCACAGAUAUCAGGAGGAACACCGGUGGCGAAGGCGCCAGCUCUGGGCCGGCACGUGGACGCUGAGGAGCGAAAGCGUGGGUAGCAAAC